GCCUGGGUGGCUCAGUCGGUUGAGCAUCCGACUUGGGCUCAGGUAAUGGUCUUACAGUUUGUGGGUUUGAGCCCCACAUUAGGCU
rnacentral:tRNA from 1 species